UAUGCCUAAAACGGUUCGAGAGUGUCAUAGUAGCCGUCAACAGUGGCUUAGAAAUAACAUAAAUAGGGUUUUGGGUUGUCCAAGGGUAUUCUGGUAAUUUGUGGUUGCUUCUGGGCUUCAGUCGGUCAUAAAAUAUGCUCAGCCCACGUUAUGGCAUCACUGUCGAUCGAUGGCAAGGGUGCACCAUCGAUCGACAGUCUUUCAUCUCCUCGACAACUUCCUCUCGCGAGCCAGACUGACCACUCUUCAGUAAAACGGACAUAACUUCUGCUAUAGGAUGCUAAUUGACCUCAAACUGGUGGCAUUGGAAAGAUAACUCAAAGAUCUAUCUUGUUUUAAAUAAUGGAUGCAAUAUAAUGGUAGGAAAUUCUCCAUCCAUAGCUAGACAUCUGACGCGUCUGUGCAGCUCUACACUCAAAAGGCUCCAAAAGACACCAAAAUCACC
rnacentral:lncRNA from 1 species